UAAAAGCCUAUGGAUCUAAACAAGACAUCA
rnacentral:piRNA from 1 species